rnacentral:lncRNA from 1 species
AGGAAUAGGUGAGCUUUGAUUGAAGGCUUCUUGAAGGCUUUGAAAGAGCUCUUGAUCAGGGUUGAAAAGUUGGCUUGAAAAACCCUCUCUUUGAAUGCUCUUGAAUGCCCUUUUGAAUGCUCUUACUUUUCUCUUUCAAAAUCUCUUGUAUCUCUCGUGUAUAUUGUAGAUCCCCUUUUGUUUUUCACCUUUUUAAACCUUUUAUAGCUUUAAGAAACAAGGAAAAAUAUUUUAGGCAGNN